CUAAGGUAUUUAAAUACUGCACAGUGAUUUUCUACCUGGGGGAGGGGGUAUAAAUGGGUCCUGUUUCAGCAUAAUUACUCCACAAUGAUUCUGUGGCUGAAAGACACAUCUCGCUCUCUCUAGCUAGCAUACUGCCGCUCAUGCACAAGACGCAUACAGUUACUGCCCAGCUGGAACAACUGGAUGCAACAACGGUGAGGUUGUAUUCUGGUUACUGUAUAUGCUUUACCUCGGCAUUGUAAAAGACAUACUUAUCUUUUUGUAACAUAAACCAGUUGGUUGUAAUCUGGUUAGAUUACAUAUUUCACAACUCUUAGAAACAAACUAAAAAACAGAUCAUCAUUUUUUUUUUUUUUUUUUUUUUUUACAGAAGUUUUAAGCAUAUUUUCAAUUGACUAAAAGUACAAAUCACACAGCAACUUUAUCACCAAACCUAUAAAUACCUUUUCAUAUGAAGUAAUGACCUUUCCCAAUGCACAAUACGUUCCUUUCAUUCUCUUCUUCUUUCUGUACAUACAUGUGACCAUCAAUUAAUCCAACUGAGUUUAAUGAUUAAUCACUUCAUCGUUUGGUAAAACUAUAGAUGUUAAACUGGUCUGUCUACCAUAUAUGCAUUUAGAUAACUACAGUAAUAAAAUGUGUUUAAAGUAUAAACAUCUAGAAGACAUGUAUGAUACAUGAUAACAUACAUAAUGACUACAGGUUAUUGACUAUUGAUUCACAUUGUGGACAAGGAGCCAUCAGAGAGGUGGACAAGGAGCCAUCAGAGAGGUGGACAAGGAGCCAUCAGAGAGGUGGACAAGGAGCCCUCAGAGAGGUGGACAAGGAGCCCUCAGAGAGGUGGACAAGGAGCCAUCAGAGAGGUGGGCAUGGGCCCAGAGCGAGAGAGAGAUCUGUUUUUGGUGACAUCAACAACAACAAAGAAUCCCACUGCUUGUAUUCUAGCCUGCAGAGUUAUCGAUCCACAUGCCCUGCACCACCAGAUUAAUGAGGAAGGGUCCAUUACACACAAACACAUGACCACACACACACUACAUCACAGAUGAAGAUGCAAUACUUACACAAGAUAG
ensembl:lncRNA